AACGAACGCUGGCGGCAUGCCUAACACAUGCAAGUCGAACGAGACCUUCGGGUCUAGUGGCGCACGGGUGCGUAACGCGUGGGAACCUGCCCUUAGGUUCGGAAUAACUCCCCGAAAGGGGUGCUAAUACCGGAUAAUGUCUUCGGACCAAAGAUUUAUCGCCUUUGGAUGGGCCCGCGUUGGAUUAGCUAGUUGGUAGGGUAAAAGCCUACCAAGGCGACGAUCCAUAGCUGGUCUGUGAGGAUGAUCAGCCACACUGGGACUGAGACACGGCCCAGACUCCUACGGGAGGCAGCAGUGGGGAAUAUUGGACAAUGGGCGAAAGCCUGAUCCAGCAAUGCCGCGUGAGUGAUGAAGGCUGUAGGGUUGUAAAGCUCUUUUACCCGGGAUGAUAAUGACAUUACCGGGAGAAUAAGCUCCGGCUAACUCCGUG
rnacentral:rRNA from 1 species